CACGUAGGGCGCAAGCGUUGUCCGGAAUUAUUGGGCGUAAAGAGCUCGUAGGCGGCUUGUCGCGUCGGCUGUGAAAUCCCGUGGCUCAACUGCGGGUCUGCAGCCGAUACGGGCAGGCUAGAGUUCGGUAGGGGAGACUGGAAUUCCUGGUGUAGCGGUGGAAUGCGCAGAUAUCAGGAGGAACACCGGUGGCGAAGGCGGGUCUCUGGGCAGUAACUGACGCUGAGGAGCGAAAGCGUGGGGAGCGAACAGG
rnacentral:rRNA from 1 species